rnacentral:piRNA from 1 species
UCCGUCGAUUAUUUUUGCAUA